ensembl:lncRNA
GCUUUGCUCAUGAUGUGCUUCAGGCUGGUAUACUACAGUGUGCGCAAUUUAGAGAACUGCUUACCUCUAUUAAAAGUGAGAUUCAAAUUAUAUCAUACAUACAACAUAAAUUUUAGUAUAUUUCAGUCACAUACCCAGUCCAGUAUAUAUGUACAGUGGUCCCUCAUUUAUUGCGGGGGUUGCAUUCUAAAAAUAACCUGCAAUAGACGAAAUCCACAAAAGAGUCAGCUUUAUUUUUUAAAAUUAUUAUAUAUGUUUUAAGGCUGUAAAACCCCUCACCACACACUAUACACUUUCUCAGACUGGCAUUAACAUUUUCUCACAUUUCUCAUUGUUUAAUUAAUUAGUAGUGACUCAUGCGUAUUUCACAGAUCCUCUGACCGUGCCUCUCUGUCCUGGCGCCGCGCCGCUGUAGUGUCAAUCGAACAUUUUUAUGUACAUUUGUCUGAAUGCAUUCACCGCGAAAGGUGAACCGCAAUAUAACGAGGGACCACUGUAAUUCUAAAAUGUCAGGGCAGCAGAACUUGAACUUUUGCGGUAAAACUUCGAUUUUAGUCUGACACUGAAAAACAACCAGAAAUUGAUACAUAAUACAGCACAACAGGUAAUGGGAUUAAAAAAUUAUCAUGUUACUAGUAACAUAAAUGCUCGUUUGGCUUACUUUCCUCAGCAGCCAUAAGUUAUCAAAUGUUCAACAAGCACCAAAACGUCUUGAUGUGUGUUCAUUCGUUCAUGAUCUAUUCCCAUCACAGGCACUUUUGGUUUCAUUCUGAUGAUUUAGUUACAACUUUUGGUAUCACAUUCAUGUCCUACACUGACUUUCAUGUCAUCCUAUUGUGCUCAUGUUUCCUCAUGUAUUUGCCCACAGUCUUGGGAUUCUUAGUAUUUGUGCUUCUUAUAGGUUUAGACUGCAUUAGAAGGCUUCUGAUGGUAAGUGCUCGUUGAAGAUGGGAUAUAUCUUCCAAGUCAAAAGGUAAGUUUACUUUCUCCUGUGGCAUGAAUUGGAAUGUUUACAUGUUCUAUACUGAUACAGUUGAGGAUGAGUCCCUGCUCUCUUCCCACAGGCUUGUUCCUGCUCGCUGGGAGCUUGCAGUAUGUGUAUAACCUCCCCCUUCAGCACCUAGAAGCACAGUUGGGUCACGCUGUCUCAUCUUUAGAUUGUGUCCACUGGCUGGGUUUAGAAGAAUGACGCAUCAUCCACUGAUGAAGACUUGGAUAUGCACGCCUGAUGGCUUAUAUGGCUUUUCCUGCAUUUUGAUAAUACCCAAGUGUUCCUUACUUUCUGCUGAAAAGCUAAUAUGAAAGUGGAAAGAUCUACACUGAACUGGUUAGGCACACUUGUAAUGUGCACUGCCUCAUACCAAGUAAUUAGAAACAAAAUAAACUUCUUUCUUGUACUUCACUUCUCUGACUUAAACCCACAGUAAAUUAAAACGUGCAGUUUUAUUUUACCUUGCAUUUUUUUCCUUUAGCUCACUCCUAUUCCUGUAAAGUGAGUUGAGUUUAUAAGAUUGCAACUUUUAUUACUC